rnacentral:lncRNA from 1 species
GGGGCGUAUUAAGAUCGUAUGGAGUACCAGGGGACUGUUAACUGCUAUUAGAAGAGCGUCGCACAGGACAUCCCGCUCUUUCCUUAAGCCAACAUCACUGGCCCAGCUUCUAGAAAAUAUCACAAUCCCCUGAGAACAAGGAUAUAUCUGUGUCUUCAUUAACUCCUUGAGUCCUUUAUGAUCUGAGAAGAGCUUCUUACAGAGGGAUACCGGUUUAAACUGUAUCUCUUCCUGUGUCACUGAAAAUGCAAGAAAUAGAAAUUACAAACUAAAAUUUGCAAAAGCAUUCCUGCAACAUCAUAGGAAGAAAUGAAUCUAGCCAUGGAACUAUGGGUUUCCUUGUCUACAAAGAAAGCACCCCCUCUUUAUUUUGAUGUAGCCCAAUAAUUUAUUUUUGCCUUUGUUUCCCUUGGCUCAGGAGACAUAUCUAGACAUAUCUAGAAAGACCUGGUAAUCACAAUACUGGGUAUUUACCCAAAGAAUAUGAAAACGCUAAUUCAAAGGGAUAUAGGCACCCCUAUGUUUAUUAUUGCAGUGUUACUUACAAUAGCCAAACUAUGGAAGCAGCCCAAAUGUCCAUUGAUAGUUGAAUGGAUAAAGACGUGAGAAAUAUAUAUAUAUAUAUACAUAUAUAUAUAUAUGGAAAUAUAUAUAUACACAUGGAAACAUAUAUGUAUAUGGAAAAAAAUAUAUAUAUACAUGGAAAUAUACAUAUAUAUAUAUGGAAUAUUUUUGGCCAUAGAAUGAAAUCUUGCCAUUUGCAAUGACAUGGAUGGUACUAGAGAGUAUUAUGCUAAGUGAAAUAAGUCAGCUAAAGAAAUAAAAAUACCAUAUGAUUUCAGUCAUAUGUGGAAUUUAAUAAACAAAACAAAUGAACAAAGAGGGGAAAAGACACAAACCAAAAAACAGACUUUUAACUAUAGAGAACAAUCAGAUGGUUAUCCCAGGAGAGGUGGGUAGAGGCAUGGAUAUGAAGGGGAUUAAGAGUACACUUAUCUUGGGGUGCCUGGGUGGCUCAGUCAGUUGAGCACGAACUUUGGCUCAGGUCAUGAUCUCACAGCUUGUGAGUUCGAGCUCCGCAUUGAGCUCUGUGCUGACAGCUCAGAGCCUGGAGCCUGCUUUGGAUUCUGUCUCUCUCUCUUGCCCUUCCCCCGCUUGCAUUUUUUUUUUUAAAUGUGGUUUUUAAACAUUAAAAAAAGAAUACACUUAUCUUUUUAAAAAAAUUUAACAUUUAUUGAUUUUUUGAGAGGCUGAGUGUGAGUGGGGAAGGGGCAGAGAGAGAGGGAGACAGAAUCUGAGGCAGGCUUCCGGCUGUCAGCACAGAGCCUGAGGCAGGGCUCAAACUCACAGACCACAAGAUCAUGACCUAAGCUGAAGUCCGAUGCUUAACUGACUGAGCCACCCAGGCGCCCCAAGAGUACACUUAUCUUGAUGAGCACUGAGUAAUAUAUGGAACUGCUGAAUCACUGUAUUGUACACCUGAAACUAAUGUAACACUGUAAUUAGCUACUCUGGAAUUAAAAUUUUAAAUUAACUCAAUAAUUUUUAAAAAGAGAAAGCACCCCCUCUUCACAGGCUAGGACUACAAAUUUCCUAUUUCUGGCAGCUCUUGUGCAGGAGAAGGCAAUAGGGAGAAGUCUUCACAGAAUAGAAUAGCCUCCUGGUACCUUCUCCUCAACCCCAAGUGGUCCACUACUGUUAGGAAGGCAUUUCUUCCGGCUAAGGUGUGUGUGUGUGUAUGUGUGUCUGUGUGUGUACCUGGUGCUUUAGAGAUCCAAGAACUUUCCUUCAGGACAUUGAUUCUUAACCUGUGGCAGUUUUGCCCCCUGGGGGACAUUUGGCAAUAUCUGGAAUAUUUUUUGUCAUAGCUGGAGAAGGUGUUACUGGCAUCUAGUGAGUAGAGGGCAGAAAUGCUGCUAAAUAUCCAACAAAGUCACAGGGCAGCCCCCCUCAACAAAAAUUAUCGAGCUCGAAUAUCAAUAGUGCCAAGAUUGAGAAGCUCUGCCUUAGGAAGAGUCCAUGUGACCCCAUGGUUCACCUCUCUCUUUUAUUUUUAAUUUUUUUUUCACUGUUUAUUUUUGAAUGAGAGAGACAGAGAGUGAGCAGCAGAAAGAGAAGGAGACACAGAAUCCGAAGCAGGCUCCAGGCUCUGAGCAGUCAGCACAGAGCCUGACAGGGGGCUCAAACUUACAGACUGUGAGAUCAUGACCUGAGCCAGUCAGAUGCUUAACCUAUUAAGCCACCCAGGCACUCCAGUUCACCUCUUUCUGAUUGGAAAGCCAGGGGCCGCUGUGGUAUAGACUUAAAGAAUUUAAGAGAAUUCCUAUAUUUUCUCAAAUUUGGAGAACAAAAGCCAUACGUGACUGGAAGCCCCAAAGCACGCAGAAAUAUAAUGUGGAUACAAUAACUGAGAAACAAGAGUCCAUCGUAUAUACUAUUUCAGGACGAUUAUGUCUACAUUUGACCUCCUUUAAGGACUAAUUGCCUUGGACUAAUUGCUACCAAUUCCUCCCAAUUUAUUAUUUUUUGUAAACUCUAUGUUCAAUGUGGGGCUCAAAUUCAUGACCCCAAGAUCAAGAGUUUCACGCUCUACCAACUGAGCCAGGCAGGCACUCCCCAACUUUAUUAUUAUUAUUAUUAUUAUUAUUAUUAUUAUUGUUACUAUUUUAACUUUAAUUUAAUUUUGUUUUUUUAGGGUCGUGUCCAGCGUGGAGCCCAAUGCAGGACUUGAAUUCACAACCCUGAAUCAAGACCUAGGCUGAGGUCAAGAGUCAGAUGCUUAACCAACUGAGCCACCCAGACGUGCCCCCAUCCUCCAACUCAGUUUUAGAAAGCAAAGUCCCUUCAGCUAUAAUGAAGAAGGAAUACCUGGAAACAGACAUUGUUGUAGAGGUCUCUUAAAUUCCAGGACUUUUUUGGGAGAUGAUGGGCUUCCUAGGGCUGUUGGAGCUGGUGAACUCAGGUGAAAGCUGUAGUCAGUGGCCAGACUGGAAGUUGCUAAACAAACACACGGCAAGUUGUUUCAGAUGAAAAAAGAAAACUCUUUUUCAUUGCCCUUACUACUGUUGACGUAGAUGUGCAGCGUGCCUGAGCCACUCACGCUUUCUACGCCUCAAACAGUUCACAUAUGUUAGGAAAUGAAGACUGGGGACUCUUGGAGUGUCAUGCAUCUUCUAAGUCACUGUGUGGCUCAUUUGGGGCAAGUCAUUUCCUCUCGUGCUAACGUGAGCUGGUGGCCCCUAACGUUUCCUUCUAACUCUGAUAUUCUGAUUCUGGGUCACCCCUAAAAGGAAAGGCUGCUGGUGGCUGAUCAGAAAAAGGUUAGCACAGUAUUUUUUUUUUUUAUUUUGUUAUAGUUUGUUUAAACCCCCAUUCAAGGUUUAGUUGGAUCAGAAAGCGGCAGGAUCUCUAGAUUGGGGUGUGUGUCUAUGAGAAAAGUAAACUCAAACAAAUUUAGGACAGGAGAAUGAUUUAGCAAAAUCACUCGAGUCUUGAUCCCAGCUUCUCUUAUCAAAUUUGGAACAUAUUGACCAUGAAGACAAACUGACCUGUAAGUCCUUUAUGGAUUGAUUAGAAAUCACCAGGGCUGGGGCGCCUGGGUGGCGCAGUCGGUUAAGCGUCCGACUUCAGCCAGGUCAGGAUCUCGCGGUCCGGGAGUUCGAGCCUCGCGUCGGGCUCUGGGCUGAUGGCUCAGAGCCUGGAGCCUGUUUCCGAUUCUGUGUCUCCCUCUCUCUCUGCCCCUCCCCCGUUCAUGCUCUGUCUCUCUCUGUCCCAAAAAUAAAUAAACGUUGAAAAAAAAAUUAAAAAAAAAAAAUUAAAAAAAAAAAAAAAGA